rnacentral:piRNA from 1 species
AGGGGCUGGAGAGAUGGUUCAGA